rnacentral:rRNA from 1 species
ACGGAAGGCAGCAGUGGGGAAUAUUGGGCAAUGGGCGAAAGCCUGACCCAGCGACGCCGCGUGAGGGAAGAAGGUCUUCGGAUUGUAAACCUUAGUAGGCAGGGAAGAAGAAAGUGACGGUACCUGCAGAGAAAGCCACGGCUAACUACGUGCCAGCAGCCGCGGUAAUACGUAGGGAGCAAGCGUUAUCCGGAAUUACUGGGUGUAAAGGGAGUGUAGGCGGGACUGUAAGUCAGAUGUGAAAUAUGCCGGCUCAACUGGCAGACUGCAUUUGAAACUGCGGUUCUUGAGUGAAGUAGAGGUAAGCGGAAUUCCUAGUGUAGCGGUGAAAUGCGUAGAUAUUAGGAGGAACAUCAGUGGCGAAGGCGGCUUACUGGGCUUUAACUGACGCUGAGGCUCGAAAGCGUGGGGAGCAAACAGGAUUAGAUACCCUGGUA